rnacentral:rRNA from 1 species
UAGCAUGGAAUAAUGAAAUAGGACUUGGUUCUUCUUGUUGGUUUGUGGGCCAAAGUAAUGAUUAAUAGGGCCAGUCGGGGGCAUUAGUAUUCGGCAGUCAGAGGUGAAAUUCUUGGAUUUGCUGAAGACUAACUAGUGCGAAAGCAUUUGCCAAGGAUGUUUUCAUUAAUCAAGAACGAAAGUUAGGGGAUCGAAGACGAUCAGAUACCGUCGUAGUCUUAACUAUAAACGAUGCCGACUCGGGAUCGGCAGGCUUCGUUCGCGAACCUGUCGGCACCGUGUGAGAAAUCAAAGUUUUUGGGUUCUGGGGGGAGUAUGGUCGCAAGGCUGAAACUUAAAGGAAUUGACGGAAGAGCACCACCAGGAGUGGAGCCUGCGGCUUAAUUCGACUCAACACGGGAAAACUCACCAGGUCCGGACAUAGUAAGGAUUGACAGAUUGAGAGCUCUUUCUUGAUUCUGUGGGUGGUGGUGCAUGGCCGUUCUUAGUUGGUGGAGUGAUUUGUCUGGUUAAUUCCGAUAACGAACGAGACCUUAACCUGCUAACUAGUGCACAUUACGCGAUGACUUCUUAGAGGGACUGACUAUUUUAAUAGUCGGAAGUUUGAGGCAAUAACAGGUCUGUGAUGCCCUUAGAUGUUCUGGGCUGCACGCGCGCUACACUGACAAAGGCAGCGAGUUACCUUGGCCGAGAGGUCUGGGAAAUCUUGUAAAACUUUGUCGUGCUGGGGAUAGAGCAUUGCAAU